CUCUCGAAGAAGAUACUCCCUCCAUCCAUAUAUAUAGGGCCUAAUGCAUUUUUCGAGAUUGCCUUUGACUAUUGAUGAGAUUAAUAGUAUAUAAACUGUAUAAUGUGAGAAUUAUAUCACUGAAAGCUCCUUUUACGUACGAAUUUCAAGAUAUGCUUUGUGUAACUUUCAUGUCAUAUAUUAUUGUUUUAACAUAUGGUCAAAGUUAGCCUAAAAAAACGCAUUAGGCCUUAUAUACAUGGAUAGAGGGAGUACUUCUUUUGGAAAAUUAUAUAUCAAAAUAUGAUCAAUUGUUAAGGACACUUUAUUCAAGUCACAUAAAGAUUCUCAUGUAUGUCUUAAGAGCUAUUGCCGACUUAUUGAAGGAGCAAAUAUGAUUAGCUCUGUACAACUGCACUAGCAAUUUGCAGUCCUGUUCAAAGUAAGAAAAACAAGCAAAAAACUAUACAGGAGUAAACAAAAUUCAAGUAGGCACGCAUUAGAUGGCACGCAUAUUGAUGAGAAGAUGAAAUUUGUUUGAGCAUCAAGAAAAAAUCAUGGUACACAGGCCAUGUAUUUGGAGGUUCUGAUAUGAUAUGCUUUCCUGUCAGUAAAAUGGUUACACCAACAGAAAGCUUACUUAUCAUUGAUCAAUAGUGAACAUUGUACCAGAUGCAUACUCAAUAAGAAAAGAAAACCAAUGGACAAAGAAGGCUGAGAAAUUCAGUACCAGGUUGCAGUCUCUUGUCCACCCAAUUGUUAUACUCGAUCUCAAACGCUGCAAUGCCGGCAUCGAUCAUCAGUUCAGCACCAGCCCCAUGAUCCGGAGAUGAGCCGAGUCACCAUGCAGGUUUCUUGCAUCCCCGUAUACACAUUGUUGUGUUGCAUCGCGGGUAUGUGAAUCAUACUAAACAAACUGUAGUUUGGGAGUCGGUCGGUAAGUCCAAAGCUCGUUGACGGUGAGGUUGUUAUUUCUAUAAGGACAAUGAUGAUGCAAAAGCAACAAGGGGUAAAACCCUAGCUCAAUUUGAUAUAUCUUCGGCGGUGGCCGAUAUAUGUCAUUUAUAAAGAAGAUUUGGCGUGUCACGACCACUAUCUAACACAAUUAUGCUUCCAACUCCUAGACUUAACGAUCCAGAAACUAGGAAUAAAACCAAAAAAUGAAGUUGCACUCCAGCAAGAUCAUGGACUUGAUUUUGGUGGAUUGACGCAUAUGUCGCAUGGCUGCACCCCUAGCCCGGCAAGGCCAGGCAAGCACAUGUGUGUGGGUUCUUUUUAUAUCCCCAUACCCAUCACUUAGUGAAGUGGUGGGACUACCAUAUAUAAGUAGGUCAAACUUCACCUUCAUAAGUGGGCUGGGACUAAGGAUUGCACCUCCACUUCUUAUCAUACAUGGACCUUUGAGUUUUAAAUAAAAGAGGCCCAAUUGAGUGCACCAGAUAUAUUGGGCCCUUUGAGCUUUAUAUCGUUAAUUUAACUACUUAAAUAUAUAUUCAUGUGGACCUUUGGGACUAAGGGUUGCAACUCCACUUCUUAUCAUACCAUAUAGGAUUGCACCAUAUUAUUUAUUAAAUAAAAGAGGCCCUUUGAGUUUUAUGUUGUUACUUCCAACUAUAAAUGUACUAGUAACAUACACUAUUAACAUAUGCAUCAUGUUGCUAAUCAUAAUGAG
rnacentral:lncRNA from 1 species